CAGUCCCCUGGGCUGAAUUUUACCUUUUAUCUUCUUAAAAUGUUAACGUACUAUACAGGCUCCAAUCUCCUCAUUCCUUUCUGGGAAUCUCCCUGCUUCUCUAUCUCUCCCCGGGGGGGGGGGGCAUUUAAAUCUUGCUUUCACCAUUAGCAACAUUUGGAGCUGAACAACUUUAAGUAACCUCUGAAGUGGUUGGAGCUGACAUUGUUUUUUUGUUUCAAGAUUUCAUGCUUAUUUUUUUCCCAGUUAGGACCCUGAUCCAAACCCUACAUUUCAGAUUGCACAUCUGAGCUUUGGUCCCAGGCCAGUGAGCUCAUACACAGUGUUUGUCUUGGCUCCACUGCCUGACCCAGCCAGGAACACAGGCUGGCAGAUCAGAGGGGAAGCAAAGCCCAGUUUUGACUCUUGCCAAAGAUGUGGUCAGCCAGCCUAGGGCUCCGGCAGCUCCCUUGGGGACAUCCAGCCAUGCUUGCGGGUCCUAGUUAGCAUCUGUAGGUCUUUGCUGCUGGCUUCUGUUCUGUUUAAACCCAACAGCAGUGAUGGCUGGGUAGAGAUGAUCUGAGCAACGAGAGACAGACCGAAAAGGCAACAAACCUCCAAUACUCUCCCUGGGCAGAUGUCUGGCCCAGGCCAUUCCUAUUGCAGCACUGAAACGAGCCCAUCCCAUUUGUGGGAUCUGCCUUCCUAGGCUGCAUGCACUUAAUGUCCACAUGUGACCGAUACUCCUCUCUGCUACGGGAACCUAGGCCCUGCAAGCUCAGGCUACAGAGCCUAGCCUAAAAGCACACAGUUCCAGAGACUGUAGGAUGCAGGUGUUUGGGGGUGCUGAGAAGCUUUCAAUUCUGCAGACAACUGUAGACACUGAACUUGGGCUGGGUUGUACAGCAUUCAUGCUGCAUUUAAGGAUGUUUGUUUGUUUGUUUGUUUAUGAGAUAGGGUCUCUGUACGUUCUGGAACUCACUUAUGUAGAUCAGGCUGGCCUAGAACUUAUCAGUCUGUCCCUCGGAGUUCUACAUGAGCCACCAUGCCUGGCUUGUCCAGUUCCGGUCUGAAUCUUGGGAGCGUGUGCAGAGUCCAGCUGCCACUAGUGGCACUCUUCUAUGAGGAUAUAUCCUGUGGUUUGCUCACCCAGGGACUCGUAUGGGGGCCCAGGGAGGCAGUGGCAGGGCCUUUCAGGGUGGGCACUGGGGUAGAGGAAUUCACUGCUGAGCACUCUCUGUGAGUGUGUAAGGAAGGGACUGUGGGGCUUCGGGGAUGAGCCUGGGCACUCGUCUAGACAUGAAGACCAUCCGGAUGAGAGGACAUGAGUCCAUUGGAAGUCUCCUGAAUCCGCGCUCGACAGGCCCCAGCAGUCUUCGCUGUGCUCUGAAGCAUGCUUCUGCCAAGGCCUUCCCUACAGCGUGGGGAUUGAUGGAGAGGCCUUGAAUUUGAGGGUGGAGUUCUGGCUUUGGCUCUUUUGGGGGCCGUGUUACUGUACUUGACACAGCUGCUCUUGGGAGAAUUGCCAUUCUCCCUUGACCUGAAGAAGAAACCCUCUCAUCCUCAUUAGAGCUCCCAUCAGCUUUCAUUGACAAGGUUUACACUUGGAAGGAACUAUUCCUCAGACGUGGACAGACCAGCGCUUGCCUAGCUCAUGGACCUGAGGAUAAGCACCAUGCUUUCAGAGAUAGCCAGCCUAACACUUGGCUCAUAAAUGUCUCUACCAUGAAGCCUUUGAAGAAUGUUGAUAGCUGCAGGAAGACCCGGCUGUGGGACCACCUCGUAGAAGGAUCCUCUGGUGGGAACAAAGUGUAUUUUGUUUAGGAUUUUGCUCCAUGGAGAUCCAAGAUCUGGAGACAGACCCAGGAGGAAGCUCCCAGCAGACUCCUGACAUUUGCUGAGGACCUGCUGCGGGGUGGCUGCUUUGCUGGCGGGAUUCACACUAGAGUGGACAGCAAAUAUCACGAGGUGACAGUGUCUGUGGUGGGCUUGUGACCAGCGCUGGUGCACUGAGACUGCACAGGAAGAUAGCUCUCAGAGGCGCUCGCAGCAGGUAGUAACGCGUGCAUUUGCAUGGCGAAUCUGUGUGGAAGCCUUUCUCCUGUCACUUCGCGGGAACUUCAGAGCAACCUUGGAAUGGGUCAGCUGACACUGGUUCCUGGCCUAAAAUGAGUCUCCAAGACAUUGGUCCUAGAUGGUCCUCAAAGGGUCAGGCUGACUGCGCAGGCUUCCUGUUUGACAUCCUCCACUGGUCAAUAACAUCCCAACUCCUCAGCAGAGUUCAGAGGCCCUGGCUGGUUCUUCCAUACCUGACCUCACUGGAUCCCACACAGGGGCUUCGGCACAUUCUGCACACACAAACUGUCAGGGUCUCAGAAGGUGGUGACUCCAUCCGGGUCUGCCAAGAGGUGAUUAGGCUAGAAGGGCGCUGUUAGCACGUCUGGCCCAAUGAUCAGGGCGCAAACUCACAUAGAGACCCCCUAUGCGGCUAGGAAAGACAGCAUCGGCAAGCCUGGAAGAGGGGCCUCGGGAGGUGCCAGGCAGAUGACUGUUCUCUCUCACACUUCAGCCUCCACAGCAUGAGGCAUAAACCUCAUCUGAGGCUUUAGCUGUAGUCUGGAUACCCGCGUAUCUGGUGGGUGGGUGAUGCUGUGCAGGCAGACAGCUAGCAUGUGCGGCCUUGUGUCUGCAUUUUGCCUUGCCGUGGUGCCCAUGGGGAGCUAGAGUGUCUCACGGCGGCACUGUGCCACAGCACAGGAAAAGACAGUAGCCCCUGGUGGGUAGGACUAGGUUCCCACUCCUUGCACACUGAGCCUGAGGUCCCCAUGUCCUCCCUUCCCCAGAUCAUGGACACAGGCCAGGGACAAAAUUUCUUCCUUUCUCCUCUCCCACUGUCCAGGUGUUGCCCAGUGGCUGUACCCCCUAUCCCUAGGGAUCCAGAGGGGCCAGAUUUCACCUCACCUGUCAUAGCUGCUAAACAUCUCUGACUGGAGCUAGCUCCCUGAUGGUCUCAGUCCCUCUGAUGCUCUUGAAGUCCAAUGGAUCAUCCUAGAAGUCAGGCUUGCCUGUCCCCAGAACCCAGCUCUGUGUGUGGACACAAGAAGGCAGUCUCCACCCCACCACUUAGCUUCAUAGACACAAGCAGGCCCUGCACGGCUAAGACAGACUGUUUAAAACAGUCAUCUAGAUUGAAAAUACAUUACAUCACUCUUUUAUCAAAUGCUAAUCUUAAAAGGAGUGGUAGUUCCAGAAUAUCUGUGCCAAGCAGUGUACACUGGUGGGCACACAGGAGGUGAUGUCUUCCAGGCAGUGGGUAGCUCCCCUGAGCAGAGAUGGGUAUAAGAUCUGCCCUACAGGUUGUUCAGAGGAGAUGAGAUCCGGCUGUUGCUAAAUAGGUGAUGUCUGUGGAUUUGUGAGCUCAAGGACUCGAACAUAUAUUGCUGGGGAGGUGGCGGGGGAGGCAGUGUUGGGGUGGAGGGAAGUAUGGAGCUCAGGGCUUAGAAAAUGAAGUUGUCUCUGUAGGCUGCCGGGAGUCACCACAGGUUUUUAGGUAGUGAGAGGCUUGGGAACACUGAUGCGCAGGGGCGGCUCUCCCAGGUUCAUGCAGGAGCUCUGACAGAAAUAAAAACAGUGUCACCCUUGCCAAAGUUCCACGUCACCAAACAGAAUGUGAGCUGUGGUCAGACCUUCCAAGAAAACAGGAGAAACGAGAAACUGCAGCCAAGUUCCACACGCAGGCCAGUUCCAGUUGGCAGGAUACCGGCGCGCUCUCCUCCCCAUGCUACAGAGAGAAGGCUUCCAGGCACUAUGUUAGAGACACAAAAGACAAUGGCCUCCAUGCCACAGCUUCCACGGACUUUCACCCGUGGCUUGAACGCAGAUGCUUUGGACCGCCCACAUUUCUCUCCUGAAGAGCAAAGGAACAGUCAUGGAUCCCAGAUGGAGCUCUUGUGGAAACGGACUGUACCAAGAACCAGCGUCCCCUCCAAGACCACUGGGUGAAACCGACUGUGCACUAUCCAAGGUUCUCUGAAUUUGGGGAGGAGACAGAGCUUUCAUCCAUUUUAGAGACUGUAAAUCCCAGUCUCAACUGCAGAAGGCUGUGGACCUGCCAGUACGGGAUCUCACUCUGUAGCCAUGGCUGGCCUGGAGCUUGCCAAAUGGAGCAGGUUGGUCUUGAACUCACAAACAUCUGACUGUCUCUGCCUCCCCAUUGCUGAGAUUAAAGGUGUUCAUCACCACAGCCAGCCUGUAAUGUAUAGGUUUUUCUAAAUUUUAUACUGAUGAAAUUAUUGUAAAGUAUGCAUUUUAAAAAUAACCACAUCAAGGAGAACAGAGUAAAAUAUAAAUCUACUAAUUCUAAUCAUUAUAAAAAAAGUAUAAAAUGUCUCUAUGUAAUGAUUUACUUCUAAACUAAAAUGGAUCUUAGUUGUUUGCUAAAGAGACUGGCUUUCCUGGAUUCGGAGACAGGGAGAUACAAAGUACUUUUUUUUUCUUUUCCCAAUUGCAAGCUACAAAUUCAGUUUGCUUCUGAGCGCAGAGGAGGGUGGAUUUCUGGAGAGCUCACAGAAUGUCCUUGUUUGGCUGUGGUGUUACACAUUCAGAGGUAGGUGUGCACACACAUGCGUGUGCGUGUGUAUGACUGGAGGCCAAACUGCUGCCCUUCCCCUCACUCUCCACCUUUCUUCGCUGUCCCCUGCCUGCACCGUCCCUGGUCUGGCUUUCUUUGAGACAGGGUUCCUCUUUUUACCUGAAGAUCAUUGAUUCAGUGAGGCUGACUGGCCAGUGAGCUUAAGGAGUCUUCCUGUCUCCAUCUUAUCCUACUUCCACAAUGAGGUUAAAGCAUUGCCCACCCACCAGGGCUUUAAACGCGGGCUCCAAUAAGAUGAAUCCAGGUCUCCAAGCUCGCAUAGCAAGCCUCACACACUCAGUCUGACUGAGUGUCACACGUUGCUGCAGAUGGUAUUCUUUGAAUGGUGUUUGAGCAACCCUUGAGCUGUAGGAAUGGCUGUUCCUCCCCCUGGUAGAGGUGACUGUCCCUACUUUCCUUCUCUCUCUGGCCUGCACAUAGCACAUUUUAUAUACAGACUAACUUUACAUGGUACAUGUCCCCACCAGAUUCCAAUGUGAAUAAAUCAUGUCUUUGCAGCUAAAAGAAAAAAGGACACUUGUUAUUUUUAGAUAACACCAACAAGCAAUUAUUGAAGAAGUUAAAAGCAGUUUCUCUUUUAAUUACAAUUAUUUUGUGUGCUGUGUGGAGGCCACAGGACAACUUUCAGGAGUCAAUUCUCUUCUUCCCCAGACUUCUCAGGGUUGAGCUCCGGUUGUCAGGACUACAUGGCAAGCCCUUUUAUUUGCCGAGCUGUCUUGCUGACCCCAAAGCAAUUUUAUUUAGUUCAAACAGCUAAGCAUAAAUAGGACAAAAGAUAUGUUAAAAAAAAUCUACAAAGAAUCUAUAAAACAUUCUUGAUAUGCUGAAAAAAACUAAAUAAAUGGAAGAAAUCCCUAUAUUUAUGGGUCAGUUACUGCUUCCUCCAAAACAAUCUGAACAGAUUUAAUGAACUACUAAUCAAUAUCCCACCAGGAUAUCUUGUAGAAAGUGACACGCUGGUUUUAUAAUUUAUACAGAAGUAUAAAAGGACAAAAACUGCUAAGGAAAAUGUAAAGGCAAACCAGAGUGCCUUCCCUAGGAGACAUCAGUACUUAAAAAGUAGCCGUAAUGAAGACAGUAUAGUACUGCAGCAAGAAUAUACAGAUGGAAAAUAGCUUUGAAAAUAUUUAACAUUGAGUCUAUUGAAUAUCCAGAAGAUAAUAAAAUUAUAAAUAAUAA